rnacentral:rRNA from 1 species
UACGUAGGGGGCAAGCGUUGUCCGGAUUUAUUGGGCGUAAAGAGCGUGUAGGCGGCCAGACAGGUCUGCUGUGAAAACUCGAGGCUCAACCUCGAGACGCCGGUGGAAACCGUCUGGCUAGAGUCCGGAAGAGGAGAGUGGAAUUCCUGGUGUAGCGUUGAAAUGCGCAGAUAUCAGGAAGAACACCCGUGGCUAAGGCGGCUCUCUAGUACGGUACUGACGCUGAGACGCGAAAGCGUGGGGAGCGAACAGG